rnacentral:rRNA from 1 species
CCUACGGGAGACAGCAGUGAGGAAUAUUGGUCAAUGGACGAGAGUCUGAACCAGCCAAGUAGCGUGAAGGAUGACUGCCCUAUGGGUUGUAAACUUCUUUUAUAUGGGAAUAAAAUGUUCCACGUGUGGGAUUUUGUAUGUCCCAUAUGAAUAAGGAUCGGCUAACUCCGUGCCAGCAGCCGCGGUAAUACGGAGGAUCCGAGCGUUAUCCGGAUUUAUUGGGUUUAAAGGGUGCGUAGGUGGAUUGUUAAGUCAGUUGUGAAAGUUUGCGGCUCAACCGUAAAAUUGCAGUUGAAACUGGCAGUCUUGAGUACAGUAGAGGUGGGCGGAAUUCGUGGUGUAGCGGUGAAAUGCUUAGAUAUCACGAAGAACUCCGAUUGCGAAGGCAGUUCACUGGACUGCAACUGACACUGAGGCUCGAAAGUGUGGGUAUCAAACAGGAUUAGAUACCCUGGUAGUC